UACGGGGGGAGCGAGCGUUGCUCGGAAUUACUGGGCGUAAAGAGCUCGUAGGCGGUCCGUUAAGUCGGGUGUGAAAGCCCUCGGCUCAACCGAGGAAUUGCACUCGAUACUGGCGGGCUAGAGUCUGGUAGAGGGAAGUGGAAUUCCCGGUGUAGCGGUGAAAUGCGUAGAGAUCGGGAGGAACACCAGUGGCGAAGGCGGCUUUCUGGACUGUAACUGACGCUGAGGCACGAAAGCGUGGGGAGCAAACAGG
rnacentral:rRNA from 1 species